ensembl:snRNA U6 U6 spliceosomal RNA
AUGCUUGUUUUGACAGCACAUAUAUUAAAAUUGGAACAAUACAGAAGAUCAGCAUAGCCCCUGCUCAAGGAUAACACGGAAAUUGGUGGAGGGUUCAUGUAAAAA